AAUAAUAAUAAAAUAAAAUUUCUCUAAGGCAGGUUCGAUUGAAUGGUGAUCAUGACUAAUCAAAGAUCAAAAGAGUUGAAUUUAAGCAUGAAAAAGUUGUUUGGAAAUGUUUGAUGAAUAUCGGUGUUGAUUUUGAGAAUCACUGUGGAAUCAAAACUUUAAUCCAUGAUGUUGCCUAAAUUUGGAGUGAUUGAGUGGGCCUGUUCAACAUCAAGGACUACAAUUUGGUAAAUUUUGAUGUGAACAAAUGUUUUGAACUAUUUGAUUGUUCUUUGUUUUUUUUUUUUUGAAGCUUCCAAUGUUGAUAGAAAUUUGAAUAUGUUGUGUUAAGGUUCAAAUCAAAAUUUGCUUUAAGAUCAAAUUCACGAUCAAUCGAUGAUUGGUAUUUAGAACAAUGAAUAAUAACAAGAUUCCACCUUUGUAAAUUGUAAUGGACUUUUGUGCCUUUAGGAUACCUUGAUUAAAUUGAUUGUCAAAUUUUAUGCAAUUUGUACAACGACCUUUAACUGGAAAAAGGGUGCAGCUAGAUACGACGUGUUUGAAGAAAAAACAUUAAAUGAAGCAUUUUCCUUGGGUGGAAGUAAUAGUAUGUAAUUAACUAACUAGAAUUGGGAAAACAAAUCAUUAAUUAUAAAAUAGUUAACAAUAUUGUUGUGGAGUAUAAUGUACUUUUCAUAAAGUCAAUUCCAACAAACUGUUAAUGUUGUGAUCAAGGUGGUAAAGACUUUUCAAAUUAUUAUUUGCAAUCAAUUUUAAUUUUUUUGUAGUUGAUACAAUGUUGUGAUGUGACAUACCUGGACUGGUCAGAUAUUUUAUUUAUUUAUUUAAGAAAACUGUGGAGAUUUGUUUUAUGACCUGUAUAUAUUUGACGAUUAUUUAUAUUUUCUUGGUCAUUAUAAUGGACAAUUUCCAAACCAUCGUUUCUCACGGCCUAUGAUUUUGGUCAUUACACAUUGAGUAGUAAUCAGAUGUCAUUUCUACUACGCCAAUCAAUAUAUUGUUUUGGUCCUUUUUAAGAAGCCAAACACUCAACUUCAUGGAGAUCAAUACCUCAAACUGCUCUUAACUUGCUUGCAAUUUUCUCCUUGAUAGAAAUGAAACAACGAAGGCCAAUAUGAGGUUAACGAUCCCUAGAUUGGAUCGUAUGUUAUUGAUAUUGCAAAUUUAGAAUAUAUACCCAUUCACUCAUGAUAGGAAGUGUGGAUCUCAAAUUUUUUUGUGGGGUAUUAUGCUAUUUUCACAUUUAUUAUGUUGCCCUAAUUCUAUAGGACUAUAGUAGGGGGACGGUGGUUAAUUGUUUGUAAUUUUGCUUUGGUCUUCAUCAUAGUGAAAUCUCGAUGACUUCGAGUAAUACCCCAGAUUUUUAUUUAGGCCUUUAGUUGCGAUUAAAGGUUUGAUUUGUAAAUUUUGAGACUUUAUUUGGGGAGUUUUAUGAUUUUGAGGUCUAAAGUAUGAUAAAUAUAAGAGAUGGGACAUUAUUGGGAGACUCUUGUAUAAUUAUUGAGCGAAUGGUGGCAGAAGGGGAAAUUUGGAAAAAUAAAAUAGGUGGAAUCCAUGUGUCUUGAUCAUGCAUAGCGUGGGACAUGGUUUUUUCCCAAAAACCAAACACCUGUUGUAUACAUGCAUCCACCUUGACACACCACGCCUCAUAAGGCCCCAUUUGUUUUCCUACGCAUAUGAAAGAAAGAGAAAUACAGAGAGCUGGGAAUGAGAAACAGAGUUAGGAAGAGAGCGGAAGAAGAGAAGGGGAGUAGUAAGAUGGUUAGGCCAUGGAAGGAGACAUUCAAGACUGGAAAUUUCAGAAAGCUAUAUCCUCAUCUUCUCACCAUCAACCUCUCACCAAAUCAUCUCAUCAUUAUUUCCUUCUCUAAAGUGGCAAUUCGAGCAGAUGGGGGCAGAAAACAUAAUUGUGAUUUCAAGAUGGCAGUUCUUAAGUUAUUUGUACUGCGCAGUCCGAGGCCAUGAGCGUAGUUACUGUCACGUCAUGGCACAUGGUGAGUUUUCAUUUUCUUUUUCCUUUUGGCCAGUAUUUUGUGGGUUCAAUGUCUUAUUACUUUGUUGACUUUUUUAUAUUUUAUUAUUAUUAUUUUUUCCGGUUAGGUUAAUACUCACACACACCCACAAAUGCCCACUAUGGUGUGGAACCCCUCACUUUGUCAUUCUCACCUUCAAUUGUUUUCUAUCUUUCUUCCUCCUUUUUUCUUUUUUCCUAGUUGAUACCUCCCCCCUCUCAAGGAAUUGUUUGCACCCAAGAGGAUUCAAACCUUGGGCGUGAGGCUCUAGGGCCAAGUUCUUACCCACUUGAGCCAACCCCUUGGGGUUAAUUGUUUUCUAUCUUUUUAAAGGGAAGCAAAACAAAGCCAAUUUUUACUCAUACUGAUUUGAUAAUGUAAUCUUGUGAACCUCCUUAUUUAUGGUCGUGUCUUGUAUGAUAUUUCUAUACGUUUAGAAAAAAAAUAAUAAUAAAGUUUUGUUUAUAAAGGACAAACAUUAUAUACAAUGUUAGAUCAGUAGAAAGAUUGCAGAAUCAAUUUUCUAUAUCCUCAAGUCAUUAAGUGAACCAGUCUUAGGUUUUCUAUCUAUUUAUUUUAAUUCUUUGCCCCAUCUUACAUUUCCGUAAGCUUUAUUGAAUUCCAUCUGGUUUACCAAGUCUUCUACACCAAGCGUCCAUUUCCUCUCUCUCUUUCUCUCUCUCUCUCUCUCUCACACACACACACACACUCUGCCAUUCUAUAGUUGUCAAAUGAAGUAUACACUUAUUUUGAAACAAUUAAAUGAUGAUUCUAUGCACCUACACAGUUAUCUGUCUUUCAACUUUUAGAAUUUUUAAGGUUCGAGUAUGUUAUUAAUUUAAUUCCCUUAGAAGGCUGAUAGAAGAACUAAUCUCUCAGAAGAGUUGCAGGAUGUUAGAACAUAAGAAUAUUAAGUAAUUUGUAAAGAAGUGUGUUUCUCAAAUAAACUAGCUGGUAUAAGAACCGGAGAAUGGAGCACAAUAUAGUGGUGUGUGAAACCAGGUUAGGACUAGAUAAGUAACAACUUCGGAUGAAUAAGAAUAUGUUUAACCAUAUUGUGCUCCAUGAUUCAAAAUUUAGUUGGGUUAAAGGAAACAAAAAACAUUUUGAUACAUGAACAAGUGGCAAUAUUCUAACUAGGGAAAAAAAGUAGCAAUAUUCUUGCAUUUCAAAGAAACAGCCCAAGGGCCAACAAUGCCCAAAAAAAUAUAUAUAUAUGUAUAUAUAUAUAUAUAUUCUUGCAUUUCUUGCCCAUUGCGUCAAUAAUAGGAUUAUUACAUUUCGAUUUGAGUGGUCACAAAAAACUGUGAGUAAACGCUUUAUUUUGUUGAGACUCUUAUGCAUCUUGUUGCCCAAAAAUUCUUAAAAAUGCACAGGACAUAUAUACAUGAAUGAGUACAGGAAUGGAACUAUAUAAGAAAUAAAGAGAUAAUAGAGUAUGUGUACGAGUCUUAAAAAAUGAGAGUUUGAACUGGAGAAGGUGGUGGAUUAUAUUUGUAGGGAUAUGAAAGUGUAACUCUUUCAUCUGAUUUAAAUGAAAAUAAUAGUGUAAUAAAAACUCAUAAUAAAACAACAAAAAUUAUAAUUUAACAUGUUCUCAUUAAAAUAUUGUCAAAAUGUGUCAUAACUAGAAAAACAUAUCAUCUUUUUUUAAAAAAUAAAAAAUAAAUAAAGUGAAAAUUUUCCCUUUAGCUCUCUCAAAAAUUUCAAUCUUCUCAGUAGUUUUGUGCUGGAUGAUCUACUAACUUUUUGGCAAGGUGGUCGACCAUGAUUUCCCAACCUCUAACAAUUUAUUUAUUUUAGGCAAAAUUUGAGUUCUAGCAUAUUUUGAUCAAACAUACUUUAAAGAGACUAGAAUUAGAGAUUAAAAAUUUAACAAAAACCUUAAAAAUAUCUUUUACUAAUAACUUACAGUUUUGUACUUUAGAAUUAAACGUUUACAGGUUCCCAAAGUUUGAAGAGAUUAACAAUUAGAAAUCAAGGUUUUGUGUCCGGAGAGAACAAGAUUGGAGUUUAGCUUCUUACGGUUUUAUUUUUCUUUUGGAUGAAUAAGAGACUGUUAUUUCUACCAAGGGCCUUGUGGCCUAGUGGUAUUUCCUCUGGUAAGGAUUCGAGUCCCCAAAGAGGCAACAUGGGUGUGUGUGUGUAUGUUUAUUGCCAAUGAAAAAAAAGAAAAAGAAAAAGAAAGAAUAGUACUGUUAUUUCAUUCAAGGAAAAAAAACAAUAUAAUCAAAGAGUACUGUUAUUUUGUUUACUGUAGAAAGUAUUGCAAUUCAUGCCUAGGAGUUUAAAGAUUUAAGAAUUUUUUGGUUUAGAAUUUUGGUGUGAACUUAGGGUUAUUGUUGACAAAUAUAAAAGAUUGGUACAUAAUUUAGAACAUUUCUAAAAGAUACUAACUGCAAUUGAGUUAAAAUAAAAAAUUCCAAAGACUCAUUAGUUGAAAAAAAAAAAAAAAAAAAAAAUUAACCUCAAGUGCAUUUCAUAAAAAUUUCCUACAUCCUAAAUGUUUCUCUUGAUGAGAUACUAAUAAGUAAAUACAUAAAUAUUUUACAUAUAUAUAUAUAUAUAUAUAUAUAUAUAGUUGUUGAUUGUGACCGUCAAUGUGGGUUUACUAUGGAGGUUUAUGCCAAUAACAUGUAGUUCCCAUUGUGUCAACAUUGUGUUUAUCUAACUAUCACUCCCAUUGUAGUUGUUGAUUUCUCUCUUAAGAGAGAAAAGAUGUACAAAUUUGUGUCCGUGAGGCAUGUUGUUAUCGUCUCUUUGGCCAUCAAUUUGGGGCUACUAUGGAAGUUUACGAAUGAAGGAGAAGUUCCCGAGGCAAACGUUCAAAGGAAGACCAAUGUAGUAAGGUCUUCAACUUCAACGGGAUUGACUUCGGUUGAUGAAGUGAAACAUCAAGAUAUGGUGGAAGUAGUUAUCGGUCUUGAUUUGUAAGCUCUCAUUCUCGUUAUAAUUUGUAAACAUCAAGUGUGUGUUACUAUGGAGGUUUACACAUGAGGGAGAAGGUUGACCAAUAUUGUAGUAAGGCCGUCACUUUCAAUGGGCUUGACGUCGAAACCUCGAGAUAUAGGGGAAGUAGUUAUCAGUCUUGAUUUGUAAGCUCUCAUUAUCGUUAUAAUAUUGUCCAUAUGUUUCUGUAGUUUUAAGUUCUUUUUAUGUUUCUAUUCAAGGACCAAUAGUCGUUUUUGUAAAGUACAUACCAGACUUAACGGGAUGUACUGUUCACAAGAGGGGAUUUUCUUUCGCUCA